rnacentral:rRNA from 1 species
GACGAACGCUGGCGGCGUGCUUAACACAUGCAAGUCGAACGUGCUUAUUGUGGGCAUUCUUUCGGGAAUGGAAAUGAAAUGAAAUUGGCGACCGGGUGAUUAACACGUUAGCAGCCUACCUUACACAGGGGGAUCGCCGUUGGAAACGACGAUUAAUACUGCAUGAGACCGCUGAAUCGCAUGAUAUAGGUGUCAAAGAUUUAUCGGUGUAAGACGGGCUCGAGUGUGAUUAUCUUGUUGUAACGGUAAACGCCUACCACGGCGACGAUCAGUAGACGGUGUGAGAGGAUGAACGGCGACACUGGAACUGAGACGCAGUCCAGAAUCCUACGGGAGGCAGCAGUGCGGAAUAGUGCACAAUGGGGGGAAUGCUGAUGCAGCGACGCCGGGUGAGCGAAGUAGGUUGUCGAAUAGUAAAGCGUUGGUAUAUGAGAAGGUAAUGACGGUAUCAAAGGAGGAAGCCCCGGCUAAAUACGUG